rnacentral:misc_RNA from 1 species
UUUCCGUAGGUGAACCUGCGGAAGGAUCAUUGUCGAAACCUGCCCAGCAGAACGACCCGCGAACUUGUAUAAACAACCGGGGGCGGGGGGCGUUCUCGCCCCGUGCCCCCGAACGGCGGGGAGACACUCGUGCCUUCUUGCCGAACAACGAACCCCAGCGCGGUCUGCGCCAAGGAACUUCAACUAAAGAGUGCCUCCGGUCGCCUCGGAAACGGCGUGCGUGCCGGGGGCGAAUCUUGUGCAAAACCAUAACGACUCUCGGCAACGGAUAUCUCGGCUCUC